rnacentral:misc_RNA from 1 species
UAGCUGCUAUCGAGCUCCAGCUACAAAUGGAUAAGACUUUGGUCUGAUUGUAUAGGAGUUUUUGAACUAAAAAAGGAGCAAUAGCUUCCCUCUUGUUUUAUCAAGAGGGCGUUAUUGCUCCUUUUUUUAUUUAGUAGUAUUUACCUUACACAGUUUCUUUAAAAAUAAGAAGGGGCUUUUCUAGUUUGGUUCGAUUAGCGUGUUUUAUCUUUGUAUUAAUUUCUAUUAUAGGUUUAUAUAUCCUUUUCCCAAUCGUUUAUGAAGUUUUAUUUUCAAUUCAAUUUCAAUCUAAAAUAGAUAAAAAUUAUAAUUUUUAUUAUUUAUUGCUUUUAUUUUAGAAAUAAGAAAGAAAUAAUAUGCUCUUUUUUUAUGUUCUUUUUUUAUGUUAAUGGAAAAAUAAAAUAUAGUAACAGUAGAUAAUACUAGAUAAUAGGGGCGGAUGUAGCCAAGUGGAUCAAGGCAGUGGAUUUGUGAAU